ensembl:lincRNA
UGUCCGUCUGUCCGUCCGUCCUUCCCUCCUUAGACGAGGCCUUGGUUUGCAGCCGCAGGUUGCCUCGGAUUUCUAGUAAUCUUCUUACUUCCAAAGUGCUAUGAUUACAGGCACACAAAGCUACAUUCUCUUUGAGUGCCUGAUGCUUUUAACACCCAUGUGCAGACAAAUGACAGGUGUGUGGGUAUGCAUUAGGUAGUUGUGCUCAGGGAAUGGGCCUGGAAGUGAAGGAUCACAGCAGCAAUGAGCACCCCCCAGAUCUUUGUUUCUAAAUAGUGGUCUCCCCUAUAUAGGAAGCCAGAACUCACUUAAGAAAUGGCUGGUGUUAGGACUAAAAGAGGAAAAAAAUAAGCAAGUACUAAAACCUGAGGUAGGUCAAAGGGUGAAAGAGUCAGCUACAGGAACCUCUGAGAGCCACAGAUGGGUCAUCCAGAGUAUCACGUCUGAGGAUAUGCUGGGUGGAGAGGUGUGCAUCUUCAAUCCCAGCACUCAGAAGGCAGAGACAUGGAGAUCACUGUGAGUUAACCUGGGCUAGAAAGUAAGUUCUAGGCCAACCUGGGCUACACAGUGAGAUUUCUUUUUAACUUUUUUUUUUCUUUUUUCUUUUUGGUUUCUCGAGACAGGGUUUCUCUGUGUAGCCCUGGCUGUCCUGGAACUCGCUUUAUAGAUUAGGCUGGCCUCAAAUUAAGAGACUCACCUGCCUCCGCCUCCUAAGUACUGGGGUUAAAGGUGUGCACCACCACUGCCUGGCUCUUUUUAACUUUUAAAUUUACAUUUAUUUAUCUUUAUGUGUAUGCAUAAGUUCAUGUUAUGGUGUGGUAUGGACAUCAGAGGACUUUUGGAAGCUGGUUCUCUGCUUCUAUCAUAUGUAAGUUCAGAGACUGAACUCAGGUAACCAGGUUUGGCAGCAAGUGCCUUAAGAACUAAUCUACUUGACAGCCCCAGAAUAAGAUCUCAUCUCAUUAAAAAAGAAAAAACAAAGAAAACAACCUGUAAAUACUUUUCUACAACUCACAGGAACAGACUCAAGAGAGUAUGUUUCUAGUACAGUGAUAAAUCAUAAACAGACAAGGACAAGUUCCUUGUACAAGGUUUGACUAAGUCUGAACUUUUUUUUUAAUAAGGCGCCUCUGGCUCCCUCUGCUGGUGUCUCAUGAGUAAUGGUCUAAAUGAGGUUAUUAGCAUAUCCAAUCUUUCAGUUUAGAAACAUAGACUUUCAAGUACAAUCUCUAACUCUGAACGUCGCUUACUUCCCUAAGUUUGGAGAAAAUCUGAACCUACAAACUUGUAUGUUUCCUGGCUCUCAGAAGAAUUAGUAGGGCAUGUUACCAGGGGACUAGUUUCUAAGAGCCCAGACAAACUUACCCCCUCAGCAGCAUCAAUGAAAAGGACCACUCCAUCUGAGAUGCGCAAGCCAGCUGUGACCUCAUCAGAAAAAUUCACAUGACCUGAAAAGCAAAUAUCCAGCUAUGGCUUGGUGGAAUGAGGCAGUUAGCUUCUAGGGUGACCCGAGGAACCAGUCCUAUGAACUCCAAAUAUCCCUCUUCCCACCCCCAGCACCUCAUAGUGUAUAAACUUCUCCCAUCUGCAUCCCAUCCUGGAUUGGGAAUGGCAAAGAUAGGCCUAGAAAGCAUGGCGAGCCGCUCCAGGCAAGGCACAGCUGGAUGGGGUGGCCUGGGCUCCAGAAUGUCAGGCACUGAAGGCAAAUCUGCCAGAUCCCAAAUUGCCCAGACAUUAAAACAAACAUGCAUCAAGUCAGCCCUUUCUACAAAAGAAACAGCUGGCAGCAGGGCCACAGCACCCUGGCAUGCUCUGUCCACUUCUCCGGGGUCAGGUCUGACUCACCUGUAUCUCAUCAUGGCUAGGCCUGGGGCCUGACAUAAACUGAAAUUAGUGUACACACAAUGUUUCUAAAAUUUAAAAUUCCACAGGGAAGUAAAGAUGGACGUGACAUCAAAGGCUAGGAGACUACUACUGUGUCAAAGAAAAGGAAACCCUUGAACAAGAAUACAAACACCAAGAACACUCUGUACUGCUCUGGGAAAUGGAGCACAAACAGAGCGUGGACGAGGCUGUGACAGUAAAGGUCAAGGGGCCCACCUGGCGUGUCCAUGAUGUUGAAGAGGUAAGACUUCCCUUUGGUGUCCGGCAGCACCACCGUCACAGGAGUGCUCUUGAUGCCAACGCCUCUCUGAAACCCACAGACAGAUGCUCAAGACUUAUCCCCAACCAAAGGAAUCCCUCAGCUCUUGGGGUUCAUCAGUUGCUAACUGAUAAUACAAAUGAUUCUCCCUGUAGUGGGUGUAAUUUUUAUCUAGACCUCUAUCUGACAUGAUUUUGUAGAUAAAAACCAUACACACACACACACACUUUUGGUUUGAUUUGUUUUUUUUUUUUGUUUUUAAGACAGGGUUUCUCUGUAUGGCUGUCCUGGAACUGGCUUUUAGACCAGGCUGCUCUCAAACUUACAGAGAUCCCUCUGCCUCUCAGUGCUGGGAUUAGAGGCCUGUCCUGUGCACACACGCUUUUUUUUUACAGUGCUAGAGAAUAAACUUAGAGUAUGUACAUACUAAGCAAGUAUUCUACCACAGAAUUACAUUUCUGGACCUAAAACUAAUUUUGGGGGGAAGGGGCAAGGAAUAUUAGGGAUUGAAUAUCUCACAUGCUAGGUGAUCAAUACCCUUAGCUCUCAGGUUUUAUUUUGAGACAAAGUCUCACUAACUUGCUCAUGCUGACCUCAACCUUGUUCUGUAACCCUGGUAGGCUUUGAAUAACUUCCUUUCUGGCUGACCUCUAACUCAGAGAUCCAUCCACCUACCCCUGCCUUCCAGUCCUGGGUCUACUACACAAAGCUAGGUUUGAACUUCUGAUGGGGCCUUUGUAGUAGCUGGGAUUACAGGUCUGUUCUACCUUGUGCAUCAGCAAGCAAGGUGAUGUGCCUUAAUUAGUGUUGAAGGGCAAUUAGUUAAAAAUAAAUAAAUAAAUAAAAACUGAGAAGAACAAGCAAUGACAUAAGCUCAGAGGCCCCAGACCCCAGGUUCUCACCUCCUUCAUUGGAAACAAAGCAAAUCUGGGUUUAGGGCUUUUGGUUUUUUUGGUUUGUUUUUUGUUUUGUUUUUUUUUUUUUUUAAGAUUUAUUUAUUUAUUAUAUAUGUAAGUACACUGUAGCUGUCUUCAGACACUCCAGAAGAGAGCAUCAGAUCCCAUUACAGAUGGUUGUGAGCCAUCAUGUGGUUGCUGGGAAUUGAACUCAGGACCUCUGGAAGAACAGUCAGUGCUCUUAACUACUGAGCCAUCUCUCCAGUCCUUGGUUUUAUUUUUAAAGGAAAAAAAUAUUUAGAAGUUCUUAUAGGAAAUAAGUAUUUUAAAAGAGGGGAAGCUGGGCACUCAUACUGUGCACCUUUAAUGCCAACACUUAGGAGGUAGAGACAGGAGUUCAAGGUCACCUUCGGCUACAUAAGGGGUUGGAGGUUAGCCUGGGCUAUAUGAGGUCCUGUCUCG